CACUUGUCAGCAAGCAUGGGGUUGAUCUUCUCCAAAGUUAGAACUUGGGAUGCAAGGAGAAGUGAUCCAAUGGUGUCUGGCUGAGGGAAGAGCGGGCUCGGCUACACCGCUGUUGGUGCGAGUGGGAACCUGAGGCCCAGGGGAGCUCACCGCGAUUCCAGGUUCCGUGUCUGUGACUGAGGCCAGGUACAACUGAGAGCCUCCCCACUCCACCCCCUGGAACCACGUCUUCAUGACAGGACAUCAAGGAAAAUGGAGGCCUUCUGAAGAAUGGAGGAGAGCACGAAUACUUUGCAAUACCGAUUGAGAAGGAUGCCGAUGUUUUUUGAUAAAUUAGAUACUGAAAUACAGUGAUGUGAAG
ensembl:lncRNA